rnacentral:rRNA from 1 species
AGCCUAUUCUAGCUCGACCACAUUCUAAGCCAAAAAUUUAAAAACCCAUUGUAGUAUAAGACUAAAACAUUCUCUAAACUUAGUAUAGGUGAUAGAAAAGGUACCCUCUCGACGCGAUAGAAAUUUGUACCGUAAGGGAAAGAUGAAAUAAUAAUGAAAAACCAAGCAACAAACAGCAAAGAUAGACCCUUGUACCUUUUGCAUCAUGAUUUAGCAAGAACAAUCAAGCAAAACGACCUUAAGCUUGUCCCCCCGAAACCCAAGCGAGCUACUUACAAGCAGCUAUCCAUGAGCGAACCCGUCUCUGUUGCAAAAGAGUGGGACGACUUGUCAGUAGAGGUGAAAAGCCAACCGAGCUGGGUGAUAGCUGGUUGCCUGUGAAAUGAAUCUAAGUUCUCCUUUGACCAUUCCUCUCGGACAUUGAACUCAACCUUUACGUAGUAGGUCAAGAGCAAUUUAAAGGAGGUACAGCUCCUUUAAAAAAGAACACAAUCUCCCCUAGAGGAUAACCCAUACCCUUCAAAAACUGUAGGCCUUCAAGCAGCCAUCAACAAAGAGUGCGUCAAAGCUCCACUGACCAAAAAAUAUGAAAGCAACAUGAAUCCCUUCCCAUCAACAGGCCAACCUAUAACAAUAGGAGAAUCAAUGCUAAAAUGAGUAACUACAGGGGACACCCCCCCCCCCCUCUUCAAGCGCAAACUUACAUCCACACAUUAUUAACAGACCAUAGUUAAUAUCUCAAUUAUAACAAGAUUAAAAUAUUACUACCCCCUGUUGCCCCAACUCAGGAGCGCCUAUUAGAGUGAUUAAAAUCUGUAAAAGGAACUAGGCAAAUCCGGGGCCCGACUGUUUACCAAAAACAUAGCCUUCAGCCAACCAAGUAUUGAAGGUGAUGCCUGCCCAGUGACAACAACGUUUAACGGCCGCGGUAUCCUAACCGUGCGAAGGUAGCGCAAUCAAUUGUCCCAUAAAUCGAGACUUGUAUGAAUGGCUAAACGAGGUCCUAACUGUCUCUUACAGAUAAUCAGUGAAAUUGAUCUUCCCGUGCAAAAGCAGGAAUGAACGCAUAAGACGAGAAGACCCUGUGGAACUUCAAAAUCAGCGACCACCGCAUACAAACUCAAACCCACUAGGCCCACAUCAACAAACGCUGGCCCGCAUUUUUCGGUUGGGGCGACCUUGGAGAAAAACAGACCCUCCAAAAAUAAGACCACAUCUCUUAACCAAGAGCAACCCCUCAACGUACUAACAGUAAUCAGACCCAAUACAAUUGAUCAAUGGACCAAGCUACCCCAGGGAUAACAGCGCAAUCUCCUCCAAGAGCCCACAUCGACGAGGAGGCUUACGACCUCGAUGUUGGAUCAGGACAUCCUAAUGGUGCAGCCGCUAUUAAGGGUUCGUUUGUUCAACGAUUAAUAGUCCUACGUGAUCUGAGUUCAGACCGGAGUAAUCCAGGUCGGUUUCUAUCUAUGAUAAACUUCCCCCAGUACGAAAGGACCGGGAAAGUAGGGCCAAUACUAAAAGCACGCCCUCCUAUAAGUAAUGAGCCCAACUAAAUUACUUAACAAGUUACUCUACCUACUCCUAGAAAAGGAUC